CGCCGCGCCGCCCCGCCCCAACCCCGACCCUUUGUGACGUAAGAUAAUGCUGCCACGCGUCGGAACUCCGCUGCCUGGGGGAGCACAGGGCGCGAGUGACACGCGGGAGGGAACGCAGCGGUCAUCUGGGGCAACUCCAGGAAUCAUGCAUUUGUUAAUCAGAUUAAUCGUUUUCUUUUACGUGUGGGGCAUUUUUACUGCUCAGGGACAAAAGGGAGAGGAGCGCACAGAGGAAGUGAAAAUAGAAGUUGUGCAUCGUCCAGAAAACUGUUCUAAGACUAGCAAGAAGGGAGACCUGCUAAAUGCCCAUUAUGACGGCUACCUGGCUAAAGAUGGCACGAAAUUCUACUGCAGCCGGACACAAAAUGAAGGCCACCCCAAAUGGUUUGUUCUUGGUGUUGGGCAAGUCAUAAAAGGCCUAGACAUUGCUAUGAUGGAUAUGUGCCCUGGAGAGAAGCGAAAAGUGAUAAUACCCCCUUCAUUUGCAUAUGGGAAAGAAGGCUAUGCAGAAGGCAAGAUUCCACCGGAUGCAACAUUGAUUUUUGAGAUUGAACUUUAUGCUGUGACCAAAGGACCACGAAGUAUUGAAACGUUUAAGCAGAUAGAUACAGACAAUGACAGGCAACUCUCCAAGACCGAGAUCUUAGUAAGGACUUCUUCCGGAAGCUCUUUGGUUGAUCAAUAACAGAAGAAGGAUAAGAGAAGGGGAACAUGCCCCUCUCCCUAAGAGUAGCGAUUACAGGCAUGGCAAACUGUUCCCCGUACAAUACUGUCGACUCAUCACCCUUUUUAGAACAAACAGCAGCUGCAGAUGAAUUCACAUAGUACUCAAGAGUUCAGCCUGUGCACACAGGCCACUCAAUAUCACCUGUACACCAACAGACACGUUCUUCAGUAUGAAUACUCCUCAGUAGGCGAUAGAUCAGUACCUGAAAAAGGACUUUGAAAAAGAUGAUAAGCCACGUGACAAGUCAUAUCAGAAUGCAGUUUUAGAAGAUAUUUUUAAGAAGAAUGACC